rnacentral:misc_RNA from 1 species
GAUGAAGAACGUAGCGAAAUGCGAUAAGUAAUGUGAAUUGCAGAAUUCAGUGAAUCAUCGAAUCUUUGAACGCACAUUGCGCCCGCUAGUAUUCUGGCGGGCAUGCCUGUCCGAGCGUCAUUUCAACCCUCAAGCCCCCGGGCUUGGUGUUGGGGAUCGGCGAGCCUCCGCGCCCGCCGUCCCCUAAAUCUAGUGGCGGUCUCGCUGUAGCUUCCUCUGCGUAGUAGCACACCUCGCACUGGGAAACAGCGCGGCCACGCCAUUAAACCCCCAACUUCUGAACGUUUGACCUCGGAUCAGGUAGGAAUACCCGCUGAACUUAAGCAUAUCAAUAAGCGGAGGA